rnacentral:lncRNA from 1 species
GUGAAUACCAAGAACUAUUAUGAUCGUGUCUGUUCGGGUUCAGGUGCCUUAAUAACAUCCUUUCAUCUUUCAGUCGUUGCGCAGUUUCUGAAUUCUAUCUGCUCUUUCCUCUUUCUGUCUUUUCUCUAUUCUUCUUGUCCUCUGCCGCCUUUACUUUCUUGUCAUCAUUAUCUGGACAUCUCCUUUCUUUCCUUUUCUGUGAAUAUCUUUUAGAAAUCUGACACCAUUAGCUUAGAGUCUAGUGUAGCUCUGCCCCGUGCUAAGUCCUCAGGCUCCGAGUAUAUAUCGGUGCCAGCUUUUCUUCAUUCGUGAGCCUUCUGUUGAAGCGAGAAAUUCUUGUUUUAUCUGUGACAGGUCUAUUCGACGCCUUCUUCAAACAGAUUGCCUUGUGCCCCAGAGGUUUGCCGUGAUUGUGCUCUUAUCAUCUUA